rnacentral:rRNA from 1 species
AGUGAACGCUGGCGGUAGACCUAACACAUGCAAGUCGAACGGCAGCACAGUAAGAGCUUGCUCUUACGGGUGGCGAGUGGCGGACGGGUGAGGAAUACAUCGGAAUCUACUUUUUCGUGGGGGAUAACGUAGGGAAACUUACGCUAAUACCGCAUACGACCUACGGGUGAAAGCAGGGGAUCUUCGGACCUUGCGCGAUUGAAUGAGCCGAUGUCGGAUUAGCUAGUUGGCGGGGUAAAGGCCCACCAAGGCGACGAUCCGUAGCUGGUCUGAGAGGAUGAUCAGCCACACUGGAACUGAGACACGGUCCAGACUCCUACGGGAGGCAGCAGUGGGGAAUAUUGGACAAUGGGCGCAAGCCUGAUCCAGCCAGACCGCGUGGGUGAAGAAGGCCUUCGGGUUGUAAAGCCCUUUUGUUGGGAAAGAAAAGCAGCAGGCUAAUACCCCGCUGUUCUGACGGUACCCAAAGAAUAAGCACCGGCUAACUUCGUG